GGAAAAAAUGGAUGGGACGCUGAAUAAAAAAUUGAAACCGUUUGGCCCGUGUUUCAAUUAGUUUAAUUCGCUUUCAAGUUUUAUCUUUCUUUCUCCGGCUCAUCUCGCCACAGUCUCAACCAACUCUUUGCUCCUCUUCCAUUUCCAUUCACCUUCACGCUUUUAGUUUUUCUCUAUAAUUUCCUUCAAAUUCACCCCAUUUUCUAUACUUUUCACCUCUCGAUCUUGCGCUUUCUUUUGAUUUUGGACUGUAAAUGCUCCUAGUAAUUGAACUGAUUGCCAAGGAGAUUGCCAGCUGAAUUUCUAUGGAAAACGGCGUUUCUGAUAACGGUGUCUGCUCCUCAGAGUCGGUGAACGGCGGCCAAGAUGUUUGGAGCUCUAAAGAGAGUGAUUCUCUCUCCGCCGACCAUCUUGUUGUCAUGGUCAAUGGCAUAAUGGGGAGUUCCACAGAUUGGCGGUAUGCUGCAGAGCAAUUUGUUAAAAGGCUUCCUGACAAGGUUUUUGUUCAUUGUAGUGAGCGAAAUGUGUCUAAAUUGACUCUAGACGGUGUCGAUGUGAUGGGAGAUCGAUUGGCUGAAGAGAUUCUUGAAGUGAUUCAGAGAAAGCCCAAUCUACGGAAGAUCUCCUUUGUUGCUCAUUCUGUGGGAGGAUUAGUAGCAAGGUAUGCCAUUGGAAAACUAUAUAGACCGCCUGAGACUGAGCAAUUAGAGGCGCCAUCUACAAAUGGACAACCUCAAGAGUCAUCUGGUACAAUAGGUGGUCUGGAGCCCGUCAACUUUGUCACUGUUGCCACACCUCACCUUGGUUCAAGGGGUAAUAAGCAGGUUCCAUUUCUUUUUGGCCUAACGGCCAUUGAGAAAAUUGCAAGUUUGAUUAUCCAUUGGAUACUUAGAAGAACAGGCGAACACCUUUUUAUGACUGAUGAUGAUGGAGGAAAGCCUCCACUGGUUCAACGCAUGAUAGAAGAUCAAGGCGAAUACUAUUUCAUGUCUGCGUUGAAGUCUUUCAAGCGCAGGGUUGUCUACUCUAAUGUUGACUAUGACCAUUUUGUUGGUUGGAGAACAUCAUCAAUUAGACGUAUAAAUGAGUUGCCAAAGUGGGAAGAUGCGGUCAAUGAAAAGUAUCCUCAUAUUGUUUAUGAAGAACGCUGCAAGGGUACUGAUUCUGAGAAGAUUGAACCAACGUCAGCGGAAGUUAGCUAUCCUGCUAGGCUGGAAGAGGAAUUGGUGACGGGUCUAUCUCGUUUGUCAUGGGAAAAAGUAGAUGUUAGUUUUCAUAAAUCAAGACAGAGGCUUGCAGCUCAUAGCAUUAUUCAGGUGAAAGAUCACACCGCGCACAUAGAAGGAGCCGAUGUCAUAGAUCACAUAAUCGAUCAUUUUCAAACUUGAUGACUGCUAACGACCACAAACCACAAUUACAUAUUAGAGAUACCGUUGAUCUUGGCUGCUUGCAGGUUGGACAUGCUUUUGUGAGAGGUCUCAUUUCCAUAAAACCUAUGAUUACAAUUUAAUGAUGUCGCUUCAUCCAUUGUAUUUAUGAAUUGUAUAUGUAUGGAUAUACUAAGGUUAUUUAGAUAAUCAAUGUAAUUUUAGUAGUAACUGGUUUAGUAAUAUAUGGUCGGUGAAGCAAGAGCAUGCUUGAACAAAAAAAGUGUGCGAUGAGCGUUGUUGGAUUAGAACCCGCGUAUAAGCUAACAUUUCUGAGAAAAGUAUGUAUAUUUGCAUUGAAACUU